rnacentral:rRNA from 1 species
AGUGAACGCUGGCGGCAGGCCUAACACAUGCAAGUCGAACGGCAGCGCAGUGGGAGCUCUCGCGGAGGGGUGCCGACGGGCGGGGGGUUGGGCGAAACAUCCCUUUCUAUUGGUGCGAGCGUAGGAACGUUGGGGAAAUUACCCCAAUCCCCCUUAGGACCAACGUGGGAAAGCGGGAGAUCUUCGGACUUUGGGUGAUCCAACGACCCGAUGUCGGAUUAGCUAGUUAGCGGGGUAAAGGCCCACCAAGGCGACGCUCCGUAGCUGGUCUGAGAGGAUGAUCAGCCACACUGGAACUGAGACACGGUCCAGACUCCUACGGGAGGCAGCAGUGGGGAAUAUUGGACAAUGGGCGCAAGCCUGAUCCAGCCAUGCCGCGUGGGUGAAGAAGGCCUUCGGGUUGUAAAGCCCUUUUGUUGGGAAAGAAAAGCAGCAGGUUAAUACCCCCCUGUUCUGACGGUACCCAAAGAAUAAGCACCGGCUAACUUCGUG